AGCCUCUCACUGCAAGUGUUUGUUUGUGUGUGUGUGUGUGUGUGUGUGUGUGUUUCUUAUUUUCCCUUUAUGUAAUUAAGACCCAUUCCAGCUCUCUGUAAUGUCUCUGCACUUCUCCUUAACCUGAAAAGCAAAAGUGUAAUUUAGCCAAGAGCACAGGGAUGGAAGCACUCGACUCUUCUCUCAUCUCUUCUUCAUCCUCUUCGCAUUUCUCUUUCUGUGGACAGACAAUCAGAGAGUAAAGAGCAGCUGGAACAUCACAAUAAUUAACUGCGGGGAAUGUGGUAUAAACACACAGAACGCUCCGGCACCAGAUGGUUCGGGGUAAUCGCGGUGACAACGCAGUUCCA